CGGUACACUGCACCGGACACUACAUCGGCAUAGACCGUUGGCAGAAAACGGACUAAAAGCCAAUCUGACUGGGAAUACGCCCAAAAAAGUGGGUGAAACUGUUUCAGGCGGGUCGGAAUUUUUUCUUAAUCAGUUCGUUCCAUAUCACUCUAAUGAUUGUUUCCGGCAAGGUCGCGUGUGACACUCCACUUUCGUUAACAAGUUGCCUUCAGAAUUGGAUUCGUUGUGACGCUUGUUAAGCCAGUAGAAGAUAACUGAUUUGGACUUAGACCUUGUACGUCACAGGGCAACUGUGACGCUGCUUGAAAGGGCAGAUAUCUUUGCUUCGGUGUUUGCCAUCCGGCACGCUCGCCGAACGGUGUGCAUGUUACCGGUCAGUUCGUGUGAAGCGGCAGUCCAUCCUGCCAGGCUAGCAAGCGAAUAUGCUUGACGAGUAGGAGUUGUUACAGUCCUACGGCAUCGUCUAAAGCGAGGGCGGGGAUGCAAAGCAGACUAGACUUCCGAGCUUUUCCUUAGGUUUACUCUGUAUCGUAGCCCCGCGGCUGUGAGGAGUAGCAGACCGAACUUCUUCCUCGAACCGUCCCUGUUUUCGCUGGAGCCCUGCUGACUAAAGCUCUUCAUCACUUGCUGAAUGUCGUUUUCCCUGCCACACCCAGCGUCCGAGACUGACGCGUUAGACUUAAUAUUGUCGACGACUGCCGCGGCCGCGAUCAGCAAACAAAAUGAAUGCCCCGCUUCAGAUGCCCGUCCAUGCCACUCUCCUCGCGUUAGCAUGUUCUCUGGCGGUAUGAAGUUGAUGACUCACGCGUGACAUAUCUCCUUCCGUGUGUGCGAGACUGUGCGGCGGAUCGGAACUCGAAGGAGAGUCUGAGACAUGGAUUUUUUCAUUGGUAGUUGAAUGAGUGUCUUCGCUAGUGCAAUGUUUCCAUCUUUUCUCGGGCCCUUGUCCGCGGAUGAAGUGGAAACCCGGCAACUUCAAGUGGUGAUUGUCGAGUGAAAAACGCUGCCGCGAAAGCGCAGCCGUAGGUCCUAGCGAGCUGUCUACUCUCUUCGCAAAACUUUCUGGUGACCGUGCCGGGCCGUAAUUUGAGUGGUAGAUAGCUCGGCUUCCGGAUCUUAUUCUGUCCGUUGUAUAUUGCUGUGGCGGCUGUAAACACGACAUUUUGACGUUGUAUGUGUGCUGGUGCAUUAUCGCAGAUAUGCUUGCUAAUCGCGUACGUCACGUUCGUAUUUCUACCCUGUGGUCGGCGAAACGAGAAGAAACGGAGAGAAGCUUUCCCCCAUUUGAGUCCCACUGCUGGCGGGGUUCACCUCCACAAAAGAGGAAGCACAGCAUACAUGCAUUAUGAUGGACACUGAACAUACUCCAGUAACAUGUUUGUGUUUGCGAACGUGCUUCAAGCCUUUUCGUAUACCAGUUUUUGCCAGUAUUCUUCUCUGUUCGCUUUUAGGCGCUACGCUUUUUGGUUCAACGAAGAAACAUUGUCCGCAAGCCAGUCAAUGUUGAUCUGGAGGGACUCUAAAGACGUUAGCAUUGUGUCGGGAGUGCUAAGUAGUGACGGAGGAGUUUUGUCAGAAUAUUGUGACAUCGCACCUAUGCAGUAACUGGACUCGAUUUCUUUUAUGCUGUAAAAAACUGUAUCUUGGUAGUGAUGAUAUUGCAAGCCCGCUUCAAGAACGCGAUUUUUACAGAUGACAACUUUUGGAGUAUUGAAUUUACGCAACCCACGACAGUGAUG
rnacentral:lncRNA from 1 species